AAACAAGCCAUGGGGGACAGAAGACCUAGUGGGAAUGAAGGUGGAGCCCACCGUGUUUAGAUGUGCUAUCUAGAAGGUGGAUGCCAGAUGACCUGUGUCGGUACCGAGCCAUUUCAGUUAUCCACGCCGCACUGCAGACUGUGUUGCACUACAGUAUGUCAGAGCCGAGGCCUUGCAACUGCCUGCAAAGGUAGAAGAGAAGAUGGCGAUACAUAAGCCAGACUACUGAUGAUUUCCAGGAGAAAAAUUUCAUGGCUGUACCAAAAUGUUCAAAGAAGAAAGAUGAAAAAUCUGCAGUGCUGCAACUUAGGUCUCAUCUGGAAACUGCAGAAGUGUACAGAUUCAGACUUGGAUCGGUGUGGUCAGCU
rnacentral:lncRNA from 1 species